AUGAUUUAUUAGAUAAAAACCAAUACAUGCUUUUAAGUAUGGAAUUUGGUGAUUUACAAUAACUUAGCAAAUCGCAUAGUGAAAACAGGCAUAAAUCAUUCAAGUUUCUGACCUAUCAGCUUUCGACGGUAUGGUAUUGGCUUACCGUGGCAGUGACGGUUAACGGGGAUUAGGGUUCGAUUCCGGAGAGGGAGCCUGAGAAACGGCUACCACAUCUAAGGAAGGCAGCAGGCGCGAAAUUACCCAAUUCUAACAGCAUAAGAGAGGUAGUGACAAGAAAUAACAAUACAAGGCAGUUAAAAUGCUUUGUAUUGGAAUGAUAGAAAUUUAAACACUUUUUAAAGUAUCAAUUGGAGGGCAAGUCUGGUGCCAGCAGCCGCGGUAAUCCAGCUCCAAUAGCGUAUAUUAAAAUUGUUGCAGUUAAAAAGCUCGUAGUUGAAUUUCUGCUAAAAAUAACCGGUUGCUUUUAAUAAAGGUGGUAUCUUGGUGUGUUUUUAGCAAUAAUGUCCUUUGAAAUGUUUUUUACUUCAUUGUAAAAAUUAUUUUCAGGAUUUUUACUUUGAGAAAAUUAGAGUGUUUCUAGCAGGCUAACGCUUUGAAUACUGCAGCUGAAAAAAAAAAG
rnacentral:rRNA from 1 species